UGGCUCAGGACGAACGCUGGCGGCGUGCCUAACACAUGCAAGUCGAGCGAUGAAACCCUUCGGGGUGGAUUAGCGGCGGACGGGUGAGUAACACGUGGGUAACCUGCCUCAAAGAGGGGGAUAGCCUCCCGAAAGGGAGAUUAAUACCGCAUAACAUUAGUUUUUCGCAUGGAGAACUAAUUAAAGGAGUAAUCCGCUUUGAGAUGGACCCGCGGCGCAUUAGCUAGUUGGUGAGGUAAAGGCUCACCAAGGCGACGAUGCGUAGCCGACCUGAGAGGGUGAUCGGCCACAUUGGAACUGAGACACGGUCCAGACUCCUACGGGAGGCAGCAGUGGGGAAUAUUGCACAAUGGGCGAAAGCCUGAUGCAGCAACGCCGCGUGAGUGAUGAAGGCCUUCGGGUUGUAAAGCUCUGUCUUUUGGGUACGAGUAAUGACGGUACCAAAGGAGGAAGCCACGGCGUAACUACGUGUCAGCAGUAGCGGUAA
rnacentral:rRNA from 1 species